AUGAACCCAUUGGCGAAAAUUCCUGGCUCCCCUCCUGCCGGAGGCUCUUCGUAUGUGUCUGCUGGUCCGGCUACUCAGCAGCUGGCUCUACCUUGCGUUGAUGAUCCAGGAACGGCCGCUGGUGAUAUGAGACAGAGUCUCUUCGAAGGUUCGAGCCUUGGACUUGGCCAAUUUCGUGCUCCGUCCAUAGUUAAUCGACCACGCGUGGUUCCACUGCGCAAGUUAGCCCUGACCGUAGAACAAUCGUUCUACGUAUUGGCUACUCCCGUUAUGGAACAUGCUGAUAUAUUGCGUAAUCGACGCAAGCGGAGGUUGAUAUGGAGUUACCGGUCGGGAAGGAAGAAAGUUCGGGGGAUGGAACCUCCUUUACCAAAGGAGCAUAUUCUUUUGCUUAAAGCUACAUCUAGAGGUUGUUCCUAUUAUGGUGGGCCGGAAUUUAGUUGCCAGAGGUGUGGGGCUUUAUACUGGUUUCGUGAAGGAUCCAGGUACCAUGCAGACGCGAAUGCUCGCCAGCCUAUUUAUAUAGGUUGUUGUCGUGGUGGCAAAAUUGAUCACAAUAUCAAUAUUGGUGGUGCUCCUUAUGUGUUCAAAAUGAAUGGAGUGGUGUACCAUCAUAUUGGUUCACUUCUACCCAUUGGAGGCUCUUCUCCAAAAUUUGCGCAGUUAUAUAUGGUGGACUCUGCUGAUGAGGUCAGGAGCAGAAUUAAUGUAUUUGGUAGAGAGGGAAAUGGUUCUCUUGAGCCUGAUCUUGAAAUUGUGACGGCCCUCAUUCAAAUGUUGAACAUGCAUCACCGUUUGGUCCAUAAAUUUAGAAUUGCUCGGCAAAGUUUGUGCAGUCCUGAUGUGUCCAAGGUGUCUAUACAUUUUUUGGGUGAUGAUGGCGGUCCUCAUGUGGGUGCAAGUGUUCCAACUAUUGAUCAGUUGGAUGAUUAUGAUGAUGAUGACGACAAUGGUAAUACUACGGUUUCCCAAGAUGUUAGAGCUUCCCGUGGAGAAUAUCAUUUCCGGAAGCAAGAUAAACUUCGUUUGGAGUAUCAUUUCCGGAAGGAAGAUAAACUUCGUUCAGAGACUUAUCAGGGUAUAUCUGAUGCAAUGGGUGAAGGUAAUUCUACAGGAAAGAAUAUUGGUGUUCACUUCAUAUUGCAUGGCAGUUUCACUGGUGGGCGACAUUACAUGUUGCUAAAUUAUCAUGAUGGAAUGGCCAUAUGUUGUGAGUAUGGUGCUCCCGAUCUAUUUGUUACGUUCACAUGCAAUCCUAAGUGGCAGGAGAUUGCCGAUGCUCUUGCUGCUGAGCCUGGACAGAGUGCUGCUGAUCGACCAGACAUUACUACUCGAGUUUUUAAUAUGAAGUUUGAUGAAUUUUUGGAUGGCGUGAAAGAUGGUUCUUCAUUUGGUCCUAUUCAAGCAUAUGUAUCUACCAAGGAGUCAAGGUCCUUCACCUUGGCAACCUCGGGACGGUGGCGUCGAGGUCCUCCACCUCGGCAACCUCGAGACGGUGGCGUCGAGGUCCUCCACCUCGACGACCUCCAGACGGUGAUGUCAAGGUCCUCCACCUCGGCGACCUCCGGCAUCGCAAUCACCUGGACAAUCAUCUGUAUGACGCGGUCGCCGGGCUUCACAGCAAAGUCCGCCUCCGAGUUGUUGAAGAGCACGACACCCAUCGGGUCGCGGUAG
rnacentral:rRNA from 1 species